AUACGGAGGGUGCGAGCGUUGUUCGGAAUUAUUGGGCGUAAAGAGCAUGUAGGCGGUCUGUUAUGUCUGGUGUGAAAGCCCGGGGCUCAACCCCGGAAGUGCAUUGGAUACUGGCAGACUUGAGUAUGCGAGAGGAAAGCGGAAUUCCGAGUGUAGGAGUGAAAUCCGUAGAUAUUCGGAGGAACACCAGUGGCGAAGGCGGCUUUCUGGACCAAUACUGACGCUGAGAUGCGAAAGCGUGGGGAGCGAACAGGAUUAGAAACCCCAGUAGUCC
rnacentral:rRNA from 1 species